rnacentral:rRNA from 1 species
AGAUUGAACGCUGGCGGCAUGCCUUACACAUGCAAGUCGAACGGCAGCACGGACUUCGGUCUGGUGGCGAGUGGCGAACGGGUGAGUAAUAUAUCGGAACGUACCCUAGAGUGGGGGAUAACGCAGCGAAAGUUGCGCUAAUACCGCAUACGAUCUACGGAUGAAAGUGGGGGCUCGCAAGACCUCAUGCUCGUGGAGCGGCCGAUAUCUGAUUAGCUAGUUGGUAGGGUAAAAGCCUACCAAGGCCUCGAUCAGUAGCUGGUCUGAGAGGACGACCAGCCACACUGGGACUGAGACACGGCCCAGACUCCUACGGGAGGCAGCAGGUGGGGAAUUUUGGACAAGUGGGGGCACCCUGAUCCAGCAAUGCGCGUGAGUGAAGAGGCCUCGGUUGUAAGUCUCUUUGUCAGGAAGAACGGUAGAAGCUAAUAUCCUUAGUCUAAUCGACGUACCGUAGAAGAAUAAGACACCGCUAACGUACGUACG